GUUGCCCAGGGGACCCUGAACUUUAAAGUUGAACAGACCCUACUUCCCUUCUUAAAUCAGGCCUUAGUCCAUGUCCUUAUCUGUAAGAACUGAGUCUCUAGCAAAAGGCCCCUAGGAAGAUUUAAUGAGAUAAUGUCUUCAACAGGAACAAUGUAAUGUAAAGUGUUUUCCUAGCCUUUCUCCUACCCGAGGCCUGAGGGAAAUUUUGGGUCCUUUUGUCUGCUUUGUUUGUGCGAAUGGGGAUAACGGGUGGAGAAAGCAGUUUGGAAAGUUCUGGAGGACCAUCAGCAAGGACAUAGGCCAAGAACAGGGAUACACUCCUGGCAGGGACUUUUCACUGCCGGCAGAGAACAGGAAGGGGUACGGGGCCAGAAGUGACUGAUGUCUGAGAAAGCUUUUGGUAACUGGGAGGAGAGGGCUGCUGGAUAUCUCCUGUGCUCUGCCGUGUGACACACGGGGGAAGCGAAGGGGAGGAAGGAAAGAAAAUGUGUUGCUGUAGGUUAUAAAUCGAUCUUCUGGAGUUGGUCAAUGCUGUUUGGAUUUGGAGCCACUGAUGACUUGUGGGCGUGGAAGUGCUUUAUGAUCAUCCUCAGGGUGGAAGAUGCACUGGGGAAGGGGGGCUGGGCAGGAGGUGGGACAUCAAAAGGAUAGACUAGACCAGACCAGACCAGAUGAGGGAGGCAAUGAGCACUUCUAGUGACUCUUGAAGGUCUGUAAGAUCUUCAGCUCUAUCCUGAGAUGGCCAGUUAUGAGUAGAAUUGGGGCUUUCUUCUUAUGAGUCUCCUAAUCGGGAAUACUUUCCCCAUUCCUCUCCACCAGGCUGCAUUCAUCUCCUUUAAGAUCCAACCUGGGCCCUUCAACCCCCUACGUCUCCCCACCAUGCUCAGCUUCAUCAUUUCUGAAGUUCAGGUUGAAGCAAGGGACCAGAGUCCCUAUAUAGCAGAAAUCAGAAGCCUUCCAUGCCCCAAGAGUCACAAAGGUAACAUGUUAAAUGAAGAGUUAGUACUACUGCAGAUGGAAAUAUCUGGAAUACCUGUAAAAACAUGAAACCGAUCUUGAAUAGUUUAACAAAUGAAGUCCAAAGAAAAAUGGAAAUGAAAGCUAAGGCAGAUCCCAUGGCCAAGCCCAGACUGAAGUGGCGCAGGAGUAGACUCCAUUUCUGGACUGGAAGAGCCGCAGGUAGAAAUAUAUAGAGGUAUGGAAACGUUUGUGGAAAUUUUGCUUCUUACUACAGAAAGUAAUUUAAUUUCAGAAUUUUCCAAGCUUAUUUUCAAUUCAAGCUGAGCUUCAGAUACUUUAAUUAUCUCUUGUUGGUUUUAAAGAACAUUUGGAAUCUCUUCUGAAAUGGAUAUUCAACUCAAUUCCAACGUGGGACCAUAAAUUCCUCAUUAUCUUCCCCGUGUUUUGAAGAUGGUUUCCGAACAUGGUGAAAUGCAAUACUUACUUUUCAUAUAUAUGCAAAUAAAGUUUAGAUAAGCAAAAGAGCUGAAAAUAUA
ensembl:lncRNA